rnacentral:misc_RNA from 1 species
CGUGAAUUUGACAUUUCAUCGCCGGCGGAGGAAAAACCGCCGGCUCAAUAUCGGGUACCAGAAACCGAACCGGAAACCGGUGAUCUGAACCGGCGUAAGCCGGACGAACCUCAGGUUAAGGUUAGUGGUAGUAACGGCGUCGUUGUAUACAGGAGGAACAAGAGGCGGAAGACGGCAGAUUCAAACCGAAAUUCAAGUGGUAAAG